UAGCCUAGAUAUCGUUAUAUGUAGACUGUGUGAUCAAGGAAAAAAAACAGCGUUUCAUAACGUAACGUCAUUUUUUAAAAUUCAAAAAGUAGGCGAUAAACUUUCACAAAACACUUCGAAAUACUUUUGUAAUGCAACUUUAGGUAUUAGUAAACGUUAAUAAGCGAUCAAAUUAAUCACAAGACGAAGUAUAUUCUAUAGCUGUCCGUCUGGAAAAAUGUCCGGCUAGAAACUCAACCAAAAUAUCCGGUCCUAGACCUGAAGAACUGCGCUACCUUGCAUGUGUUUGACCAAGAAACAAAUCGUAGGCAAAUGACAAGACUCCAGACACCGUGUGGAAGCUGUAGGUACUGCAACCUCAGCCUCAUUAAUUGUGGUUCACCUUUAUCAAUGGGUUCAAGUCGCGCAGCAAUAUAUUUUUCCAUUUUCAGUGAUCAGUUUUUCCUGCGCUUUCCGAUGAAACGCACGUUAUGUUAUAGCCACAGCAGUGAUUUAACCAGUUUUUUUGAGUUUUUCCUAGCCACCGUGCUUUUACACCUGCAUUGUUUGCUGUUUGGGGUUUUAGGCUGGGUUUCUGUACAGCACUUUGAGAUAUCAGCUGAUGUACGAAGGGCUAUAUAAAUGAAUUUGAUUUGAUUUGAUAGACCUGUUUUUACCCACCAAUCAACACACAGAGAAAUAAACAAAACCUUAUAAUUUAAUAGAGAUAUUGGUGAUUUUAUAAACUAAAUCUGAUCAAAAUUAUAUUUUGUCAAUGAAAUGAAUGAAUGUAUUGUGUACUAAUCAAAUAUAUUAAACAUGUCGUUAAAUUUGUAGUGUAGACCUUUUCACUGUGCAAAUAUUAUAUGUUCAUUAUGUUCUGACCCACCGACUUUAACUCAGAAAACAAUUGUCCCGAAGCCAAACCUAGUUGACGAACCCUGUUUUAUAGUAUUCCAUGGCCUUUACUGGCCAACUGCUGUUAUGGUUAUGAUAUACUAUGGUGUUGUGUCACUAGACUUUGACCAGAUAUUAUUACAUCCAAAGAUCAACUGAACCUAGAACAUAGAUACAGAGACACUUGUCAUCAGGAAGGUGCUCUCUCAGCACAACGGAAAAUAUCUCAAUGACUUGACAUGUUCUGGUUGUGAAUUCAGGCUACAAGGGGACAGUUCUCUAAAAUGAGUCUCUCUGGAGCGAGAAAGAAGGGGGGCCCUGCCUCUAAAAUGAGUCUCUCUGGGGAACAUGACACCAAAGCUAAGAGGUGAGAUUACAAUGUUGUUUGUUUCUAAAACGUGUUUCCACCAUUUUUUCACAUUUGUUAUUUAUCAGACAGUAUUGCUCAGGGGAACCUUGUCUGUAAAAUAUUGUUGUUAAAAGAUUUUAAUUCAUGG